rnacentral:rRNA from 1 species
GACGUAGGGCGCGAGCGUUGUCCGGAUUUAUUGGGCGUAAAGAGCUCGUAGGCGGCUCGUUGCGUCGGCUGUGAAAACCCGCAGCUCAACUGUGGGCUUGCAGCUGAUACGGGCGGGCUGGAGUUCGGUAGGGGAGACUGGAAUUCUUGGUGUAGCGGUGAAAUGCGUAGAUAUCAAGAGGAACACCUGCGGCGAAGGCGGGUUGCUGGGCCGACACUGACGCUGAAGCGCGAAAGCCAGGGGAGCGAACGGG